rnacentral:misc_RNA from 1 species
UUGGGGUGUUGUAGUCAAUGUGGUGAAGAAGCCUCCAGCAGCAUUGGGUUCUUUGCCUGCUACCCUCUCUGCUUCAUGUGCUGCUGGCUAUAUUGUGGAUACAUUACUUCACUGCUCUCUUGGUUCCAGUGAAAAUGGUUCUCGACCAAAACCAUGCCCUCCUCGUCCCGGGGAAAAGUGUGAAAUGCAUGUUGUUCCUGUUCAGUUACCCUUAAUUUCUUCUCUCAGCAAGCUUAGAAUAUCUGUUCCUUCUGAUCUUCGGCCUUUGGAAGCAAGACAGAGUAUUUUUCUUGCAGUAAAGGAGCUUGAAAAACGGUUCCCUGAAGGCCUCCCAAAG